rnacentral:rRNA from 1 species
GAUGAACGCUAGCGACAGGCCUAACACAUGCAAGUCGAGGGGCAGCACAUGAGUAGCAAUACGAUGGUGGCGACCGGCGCACGGGUGAGUAACACGUAUGCAACCUACCUGUAAGAGGGGAAUAACCCGGAGAAAUUCGGACUAACACCGCAUAAUACCUCGAAGCUGCAUGGCUUUGAGGUUAAAUAUUUAUAGCUUACAGAUGGGCAUGCGUAUGAUUAGCUAGUUGGUGAGGUAACGGCUCACCAAGGCAACGAUCAUUAGGGGUUCUGAGAGGAAGGUCCCCCACACUGGUACUGAGACACGGACCAGACUCCUACGGGUGGCUG